UCCUCCUUAGCUCAGUUGGUUAGAGCAUCUGACUGUUAAUCAGAGGGCCGCUGGUUCAAGUCCAGCAGGAGGAGCCA
rnacentral:tRNA from 1 species